CUGACAUCCCCCUGACGGGCCGAUGAACACGAGCCAUGUCCUCGGGACACGGGAACAGGUGGGCAAGGUCGUUGCUCAGGCUUGCUGGUUCGUGAGAUGUUGGGUUAAGUCCCGCAACGAGCGCAACCCUUAUCCUUAGUAGCCAGCAGGUAAGCUGGGCACUCUAGGGAGACUGCCAGGGAUAACCUGGAGGAAGGUGGGGAUGACGUCAAAUCAUCAUGCCCCUUAUGAUUUGGGCUACACACGUGCUACAAUGGCGUAAACAAAGGGAAGCGAGACAGUGAUGUGGAGCAAAUCCCAAAAUACGUCCCAGUUCGGACUGUAGUCUGCAACCCGACUACACGAAGCUGGAAUCGCUAGUAAUCGCUGAUCAGAUGUCCGUGAUA
rnacentral:rRNA from 1 species